rnacentral:tRNA from 1 species
UGCCGCUGUAGCUCAGUUGGUAGAGCAGUUGAUUCGUAAUCAAAAGGUCUGCGGUUCGAUUCCGCGCAGCGGCAU